GGACGGGUGCGUAACGCGUAUGCAACAUGCCUUCCAGCGGGGGAUAUACCAGGGAAACUUGGCGCAAUACCCCAUAGAAUUACGGGACCGCAUGGUCUUGUGAUUAAAACUCCGGUGCUGGGAGAUUGGCAUGCGUGACAUUAGCUAGUUGGCGGGGUAACGGCCCACCAAGGCGACGAUGUCUAGCUGGUCUGAGAGGAUGAUCAGCCACACUGGGACUGAGACACGGCCCAGACUCCUACGGGAGGCAGCAGUAGGGAAUAUUGGACAAUGGGGGGAACCCUGAUCCAGCCAUGCCGCGUGAGGGAAGAAGGUCCUCUGGAUUGUAAACCUCUUUUGGCAGGAAACAAACCUGCGCUAUACGCGCAGCUGAGGGUACCUGCAGAAUAAGCACCGGCUAACUCCGUG
rnacentral:rRNA from 1 species